rnacentral:rRNA from 1 species
CGCACUGUAAACUAUGAUUACUCGCUGCUGGAGGGCAACUUUCAGUGGCUUAGCGAAAGCGAUAAGUAAUCCACCUGGGGAGUACGCCGGCAACGGUGAAACUCAAAGGAAUUGACGGGGGCCCGCACAAGCGGAGGAGCAUGUGGUUUAAUUCGAUGAUACGCGAGGAACCUUACCAGGGCUUGAAAGUUAAGGAAUGAUUUUGAAAGAAGUCAGUCAGCAAUGACCUGAAACUAGGUGC